ACGCUCGACACCUACGGGAGGCAGCAGUUAGGAAUAUUGGGCAAUGGAGGAAACUCUGACCCAGCAACGCCGCGUGAAGGAAGAAGGUUUUCGGAUUGUAAACUUCUGAUCUAGGGGAAGAAGGAAGUGACGGUACCCUAGGAGAAAGCCACGGCUAACUACGUGACAGCAGCCGCGGUAAUCUGAGCGGGCUGGCAAGGC
rnacentral:rRNA from 1 species